rnacentral:rRNA from 1 species
CCCGUUAUCCGGGUUGCGGACAGUGUCUGGUGGGUAGUUUGACUGGGGCGGUCUCCUCCUAAAGAGUAACGGAGGAGCACGAAGGUUGGCUAAUCCUGGUCGGACAUCAGGAGGUUAGUGCAAUGGCAUAAGCCAGCUUGACUGCGAGCGUGACGGCGCGAGCAGGUGCGAAAGCAGGUCAUAGUGAUCCGGUGGUUCUGAAUGGAAGGGCCAUCGCUCAACGGAUAAAAGGUACUCCGGGGAUAACAGGCUGAUACCGCCCAAGAGUUCAUAUCGACGGCGGUGUUUGGCACCUCGAUGUCGGCUCAUCACAUCCUGGGGCUGAAGUAGGUCCCAAGGGUAUGGCUGUUCGCCAUUUAAAGUGGUACGCGAGCUGGGUUUAGAACGUCGUGAGACAGUUCGGUCCCUAUCUGCCGUGGGCGCUGGAGAACUGAGGGGGGCUGCUCCUAGUACGAGAGGACCGGAGUGGACGCAUCACUGGUGUUCGGGUUGUCAUGCCAAUGGCACUGCCCGGUAGCUAAAUGCGGAAGAGAUAAGUGCUGAAAGCAUCUAAGCACGAAACUUGCCCCGAGAUGAGUUCUCCCUGACUCCCUGAGAGUCCUGAAGGAACGUUGAAGACGACGACGUUGAUAGGCCGGGUGUGUAAGCGCAGCGAUGCGUUGAGCUAACCGGUACUAAUGAACCGUGAG